UUGACCUCAAAUCGGGUGAGACUACCCCGCUGAACUUAAGCAUAUCAAUAAGCGGAGGAAA
rnacentral:rRNA from 1 species